rnacentral:rRNA from 1 species
AGAGUUUGAUCAUGGCUCAGGAUGAACGCUAGCGGCAGGCCUAACACAUGCAAGUCGAGGGGCAGCACGGUGUAGCAAUACACUGGGUGGGCGACCGGCGCACGGGUGCGUAACGCGUAUGCAACCUACCCGAUAACAGGGGGGAUAAACACUGAGAAAUUGGUACUAAUACCCCAUAACAUCAGGACCGGCAUCGGUUCU